UACGGGGGGGGCAAGCGUUGUUCGGAAUUACUGGGCGUAAAGGGCUCGUAGGCGGCCAACUAAGUCCGACGUGAAAUCCCCAGGCUUAACCUGGGAACUGCGUCGGAUACUGGAUGGCUUGAAUUCGGGAGAGGGAUGCAGAAUUCCAGGUGUAGCGGUGAAAUGCGUAGAUAUCUGGAGGAACACCGGUGGCGAAGGCGGCAUCCUGGACCGAUAUUGACGCUGAGGCGCGAAAGCCAGGGGAGCAAACGGG
rnacentral:rRNA from 1 species